ACCAGGAUGGUUGCACAAUGUUUUGGAUCUAAAUGCCACUGAAUUGUACACCUUAAAAUGGUUCCACUGGCGUCUUUAGUGCCCAGUCUCCCAGAUGUGACAACCAGAAAUGUGUCCAGACAUAUCCAGAUGUCCCUUACAGGGAAGGCACAAUUGCUGUAGCUUCACAGGCUCCAGCUGGAACCCCUGCUGCGAGGGAUGGAGCAGCAACAGCCAAGCAACCGGGAGG